CCUACGGGGGACAGCAGUGAGGAAUAUUGGUCAAUGGACGCAAGUCUGAACCAGCCAUGCCGCGUGCAGGAAGACGGCUCUCUGAGUUGUAAACUGCUUUUGUACGAGGGUAAACGCAGAUACGCAUAUCUGUCUGCGAGUACCGUACGCAUAAGGAUCGGCUAACUCCGUGCCAGCCGCCGCGGUAAUACGGAGGAGUCGAGCGUUAUCCGGAUUUAUUGGGGUUAAAGGGUGCGUAGGCGGUCGUGUAAGUUAGAGGUGAAAUCCCGAGGCUCAACUUCGGAAUUGCCUCUGAUACUGUUCGGCUAGAGAGUAGUUGCGGUAGGCGGAAUGUAUGGUGUAGCGGUGAAAUGCUUAGAGAUCAUACAGAACACCGAUUGCGAAGGCAGCUUACCAAGCUACUUCUGACGUUGAGGCACGAAAGCGUGGGGAGCAAACAGGAUUAGAUACCCUAGUAGUC
rnacentral:rRNA from 1 species